GGGGGGGGGGGGGGGGGGGCGGAGGGCAGGCGGGGCGGGGGGCGGCGGGGCUGUAGCAAUACAGUUGCUGGCGACCGGCACACGGGUGCGGGACACGUACGCAACUUACCCUGCACUGGGGGAUAGCCCGGGGAAACCCGGAUGAAUACCCCGUAAUAUAAUGGAGUGGCAUCACUUUAUUAUUAAAGCUCCGGCGGUUCGGGAUGGGCGUGCGGCUGAUUAGGUAGUUGGUUGAGGUAACGGCUCACCAAGCCUACGAUCAGUAACUGGUGUGAGAGCACGACCAGUCACAAGGGCACGGAGACACGGGCCCGACUCCUACGGGAGGCAGCAGUAAGGAAUAUUGGGCAAUGGAGGCAACUCUGACCCAGCCAUGCCGCGUGGAGGAUGAAGGCCCUCUGGGUUGUAAACUUCUUUUAUAGGGGACGAAACCUGUGUAUUCUUACGCAGUUGACGGUACCCUAGGAAUAAGCACCGGCUAACUCCGUG
rnacentral:rRNA from 1 species